AGGAAUAUUGGUCAAUGGACGAGAGUCUGAACCAGCCAAGUAGCGUGAAGGAUGACUGCCCUAUGGGUUGUAAACUUCUUUUAUACGGGAAUAAAGUGGAGUAUGCAUACUCCUUUGUAUGUACCGUAUGAAUAAGGAUCGGCUAACUCCGUGCCAGCAGCCGCGGUAAUACGGAGGAUCCGAGCGUUAUCCGGAUUUAUUGGGUUUAAAGGGAGCGUAGGCGGGUGCUUAAGUCAGUUGUGAAAGUUUGCGGCUCAACCGUAAAAUUGCAGUUGAUACUGGGCGCCUUGAGUGCAGCAUAGGUAGGCGGAAUUCGUGGUGUAGCGGUGAAAUGCUUAGAUAUCACGAAGAACUCCGAUUGCGAAGGCAGCUUACUGGACUGUAACUGACGCUGAUGCUCGAAAGUGUGGGUAUCAAACAGGAUUAGAUACCCUGGUAGUCCACACAGUAAACGAUGAAUACUCGCUGUUGGCGAUACACAGUCAGCGGCCAAGCGAAAGCAUUAAGUAUUCCACCUGGGGAGUACGCCGGCAACGGUGAAACUCAAAGGAAUUGACGGGGGCCCGCACAAGCGGAGGAACAUGUGGUUUAAUUCGAUGAUACGCGAGGAACCUUACCCGGGCUUAAAUUGCAACCGAAUAUGGCGGAAACGCUAUAGCUAGCAAUAGCGGUUGUGAAGGUGCUGCAUGGUUGUCGUCAGCUCGUGCCGUGAGGUGUCGGCUUAAGUGCCAUAACGAGCGCAACCCUUGCCGAUAGUUACUAACAGGUUAUGCUGAGGACUCUGUCGGGACUGCCAUCGUAAGAUGUGAGGAAGGUGGGGAUGACGUCAAAUCAGCACGGCCCUUACGUCCGGGGCUACACACGUGUUACAAUGGGGGGUACAGAGGGCUGCUACCACGCAAGUGGAUGCCAAUCCCAAAAACCUCUCUCAGUUCGGAUUGAAGUCUGCAACCCGACUUCAUGAAGCUGGAUUCGCUAGUAAUCGCGCAUCAGCCACGGCGCGGUGAAUACGUUCCCG
rnacentral:rRNA from 1 species